rnacentral:rRNA from 1 species
UAGCAAGUCAGGGGUGAAAUCCCAGAGCUCAACUCUGGAACUGCCCUUGAAACUGCUUCGCUUGAAUCUUGGAGAGGUCAGUGGAAUUCCGAGUGUAGAGGUGAAAUUCGUAGAUAUUCGGAAGAACACCAGUGGCGAAGGCGACUGACUGGACAAGUAUUGACGCUGAGGUACGAAAGCGUGGGGAGCAAACAGG